rnacentral:rRNA from 1 species
CCUACGUGAGGCAGCAGUGAGGAAUAUUGGUCAAGGGGCGCGAGCCUGAACCAGCCAAGUCGCGUGAGGGAAGACGGUCCUAUGGAUUGUAAACCUCUUUUGUCGGGGAGCAAAAGACGCCACGCGUGGCGUUCCGAGAGUACCCGAAGAAAAAGCAUCGGCUAACUCCGUGCCAGCAACCGCGGUAAUACGGAGGAUGCGAGCGUUAUCCGGAUUUAUUGGGUUUAAAGGGUGCGCAGGCGGAAGAUCAAGGCAGCGGUAAAAUUGAGAGGCUCAACCUCUUCGAGCCGUUGAAACUGGUUUUCUUGAGUGAGUGAGAAGUAUGCGGAAUGCGUGGUGUAGCGGUGAAAUGCAUAGAUAUCACGCAGAACUCCGAUUGCGAAGGCAGCAUACCGGCGCUCAACUGACGCUCAUGCACGAAAGUGUGGGUAUCGAACAGGAUUAGAUACCCCGGUAGUC